rnacentral:pre_miRNA from 1 species
UAUUAGGUUGGUGUAAAAGUAAUUGCAGUUUUUACCAUUAAAAGUAAUGGCAAAAACUGCAAUUACUUUUGCACCUACCUAAUA